rnacentral:rRNA from 1 species
AUGCGCUAUGAUGAGCGGUACACACCAUACGUAAGGGAGACGGGACUCCUCCCUUUCAUUAAGUUGGUCAGCCGGUCGACGCCACCCCUCAAUGCUGUAGCAAUCACCGCGCUUGUUGAUCGUUGGAGACCGGAAACACACAGUUUCCAUCUUCGGACUGGGGAGAUGACCGUGAGGCUCCAGGAUAUUGCUAUGAUCGCCGGUCUUCCUAUCGAGGGGAAUCCUCUUUGUAUGAGCACCGAUUCUGAUGGGUGGUGCGAGCAGAUGCAUGCCCUUAUCGAUAUGGUUCCUCCGGAGGCUCGGGAACCAGAAGCAGAAGACAAGAAGAAGGAAAGAGUCGCAACCGGUGCUCCUUUCACCUGGAUUUGUAGCGGCCCGACCUCAAACGGUCAAGUCUCUGUGUAUCUGUAG